rnacentral:rRNA from 1 species
AUUGAACGCUGGCGGCAUGCCUUACACAUGCAAGUCGAACGGCAGCACGGGAGCAAUCCUGGUGGCGAGUGGCGAACGGGUGAGUAAUAUAUCGGAACGUGCCCAGUCGUGGGGAUAACGUAGCGAAAGCUACGCUAAUACCGCAUACGAUCUAUGGAUGAAAGCGGGGGAUCGCAAGACCUCGCGCGAUUGGAGCGGCCGAUAUCAGAUUAGGUAGUUGGUGAGGUAAAGGCUCACCAAAGCCGACGAUCCUUAGCUGGUCUGAGAGGAUGAUCAGCCACACUGGGACUGAGACACGGCCCAGACUCCUACGGGAGGCAGCAGUGGGGGAAUAAUUGGACAAAUGGGCGGAAAGACCGUAGAUCCAGCAAUAGCCGCGUGAGUGAUGAAGGU